GACGAACGCUGGCGGCGUGCCUAAUACAUGCAAGUAGAACGCUGAAGGAGGAGCUUGCUUCUCUGGAUGAGUUGCGAACGGGUGAGUAACGCGUAGGUAACCUGCCUGGUAGCGGGGGAUAACUCUUGGAAACGAUAGCUAAUACCGCAUAAGAUUAGAUGUUGCAUGACAUUUGCUUAAAAGGUGCAAUUUCAUCACUACCAGAUGGACCUUCGUUGUAUUAGCUAGUUGGUGGGGUAACGGCUCACCAAGGCGACGAUACAUAGCCGACCUGAGAGGGGGAUCGGCCACACUGGGACUGAGACAAGGGCCAGACUCCUAAGGGAGGCAGCAGUAGGGAAUCUUCGGCAAUGGACGGAAGUCUGACCGAGCAACGCCGCGUGAGUGAAGAAGGGUUUCGGAUCGUAAAGAUCUGUUGUAAGAGAAGAAAGAGUGUGAGAGUGGAAAGUUCACAUUGUGACGGUAUCUUACCAGAAAGGGACGGCUAACUACGUG
rnacentral:rRNA from 1 species